rnacentral:rRNA from 1 species
CAGCGGAGGGAUCAUUACAGAGUGUAAAAACUCCCAAACCCUUUGUGAACAUACCACUGUUGCCUCGGCGGAGCUGCCCGGUAGCUACCCUGUAGCUACCCUGCAGCCGCCGGCGGACCAUCAAACUCUGAUUAUAUAGAUAUCUGAGCGUACUUUUAAAUAAGUCAAAACUUUCAACAACGGAUCUCUUGGUUCUGGCAUCGAUGAAGAACGCAGCGAAAUGCGAUAAGUAAUGUGAAUUGCAGAAUUCAGUGAAUCAUCGAAUCUUUGAACGCACAUUGCGCCCAUUAGUACUCUAGUGGGCAUGCCUGUUCGAGCGUCAUUACGACCCUUAAGCCUAGCUUAGUAUUGGGAACCUACGUGCGGCAGCUACCCUGUAGCUACCCUGUAGCUCCUUAAAGACAACGGCGGAGACGUGGAGUCCUCUGAGCUUAGUAAACUUUUUCUAGCUUCUGAAGGCGCCGCGGCCCCUGCCGUAAAACCCCCCAACUCUUUAGUGGUUGACCUCGGAUCAGGUAGGAAUACCCGCUGAACUUAAGCAUAUCAAUAAGCGGAGG